rnacentral:lncRNA from 1 species
CUUCCCAAACCUUAGAGAAGCCAGCCACCCUAAUAUCCUCUGUCAAACCCGCCAGCAGAAACGACACAAACCACUCCGAUCACCCCUAAAAAUACACUAUCGUUUCCUCUCAGCCUCCCCAUUACCAAUCCAUGCUUAGUUCUUCUCAAAACUCCUCCAAACUCCUUGAAUCUUCCUCUGAAUUUAUGAACCCUAGCCGCCGCCUUUGUUCUCUGGUGGCGGCACCACCCCCAAGUCAUACUAAAAUCAUACCACAGACCCUCCUUAUCCUCCUCUUACUAAAACCCUAAUCAGCUUCCCUCAAAUCACCCUAGAAGUCCCCAAAUCUCGAGUCAAGUUCAACCUUGGUUCCGGAUCUUUCCAAUUGGG